GAACAGAUUGGCCCAAGUGUUUUGAUUGGAUGUCUGGACUUCAACGAAGAACUAUAAGUAUUAACAAAUCACCCAAUCACAAUUUUUGCGUGGCUUGUAGAAGGGCUUGCUGAGAUGGGAUGUCAAGAGCUGCUUAAAGAUUAUCACAAAUGAUUGUAAUGAUUCCAAGUUUAAACAGCUGUGGAACAACUCAACCAGUCAGUUUUAGCAAUGUUCCAUGGUG